rnacentral:lncRNA from 1 species
UUCUUAUGUAAAAUGAUUAAGAGAUGUACGGUUAGAAUGAUAUGGACCCUCAAGGGUUGAGUAGGUGGUUGGUUGAAUGGUAUGAUUUAACGGAUGAAAAUGAUCAAAAUGGUAAAUCUAAUGGCGGAAAACUUGGUAGUACCAAGUGCUUCGUGCUAUUAAUAGCAUAGUAGCCGGACUCAAUUAGAACUAGGCUACUAUAUUAUUAAUAGUACCAAGUCAUUGGUGCUACCAAGUUUUUGGCUAUUGGAUUAAGAAAUGUGCGUUUAGGAUGAUAUGGGCUCCCUAGGGUUGAGUGGGUGGUUGAUUGAAUAGUAUGAUCUAACGGAUGAAAAUGAUCAAAGUGGUAGAUCUAACGGCGGAAAACUUAGUAGUACCAAGUGCUUCGUGCUAUUAAUAGCAUAGUAGUCAGACUCAAGUAAUUAAUAUAAUAAAAAAGAAAGGGUUAUGUGUUAUUGGGAGUUGAAGACUAUUUCAUGUA